rnacentral:rRNA from 1 species
CAGUCGCCGCGGUAAUACGUAGGGCGCAAGCGUUGUCCGGAAUUAUUGGGCGUAAAGAGCUCGUAGGCGGUCUGUCGCGUCUGGUGUGAAAUCCCGAGGCUCAACCUCGGGCUUGCAUCGGGUACGGGCAGACUAGAGUGCGGUAGGGGAGACUGGAAUUCCUGGUGUAGCGGUGGAAUGCGCAGAUAUCAGGAGGAACACCGAUGGCGAAGGCAGGUCUCUGGGCCGCAACUGACGCUGAGGAGCGAAAGCAUGGGGAGCGAACAGGAUUAGAUACCCCGGUAGUCCCUGUCUCUUAUCA